CUUUUUCCGAUUCCCUCAGCACUGUGGACAAUGAUCAGUCUGAAUUACUGAAGACCACAGUGCCCCAGACAGCACGACCUCGACUAGAUGUAGAGUCACGCCUCCCAACACCAUUUGCAGGUCAUUCGGUCCAGUUUGCAGACAUACUCGAAGAAAUUGGCUCCUUUAGCAGA